UACGUAGGUGGCAAGCGUUGUCCGGAUUUAUUGGGUUUAAAGGGUGCGUAGGCGGUCCAUUAAGUCAGUUGUGAAAUACGGCAGCUUAACUGUCGAGGUGCAAUUGAUACUGGCGGACUUGAGUACAGACGAGGUAGGCGGAAUUGACGGUGUAGCGGUGAAAUGCAUAGAUAUCGUCAAGAACACCGAUAGCGAAGGCAGCUUACUAGACUGUAACUGACGCUGAGGCACGAAAGUGUGGGGAUCAAACAGG
rnacentral:rRNA from 1 species